GAGUAGUCACUGCCCUGGGGGCCACUUCUUUUGUAUCACAUUGGGGGUCUCUAGGGGACGGUGUAUUCUCCACCCCCUUAUCGCCGUGGGGUGUGAUAGAAAAAGAGCCGUUUUUCGCGGUAUUUAUAAAGCGCACUUUUUAAUGGGUGGAGAGAAGAAUGGCAUUUCGUAGAUUAUAAUCCUUUGGUCGGAUGUUUAGCGGGUUCUCCAAAGAAAUAAUAAGCGCCCCGGCUCUAAUUUGUUGCCCCACCACACGCGCCGCUUAUUACACAAGGGGGGUCAAACGCUUAUAUUGGAAAUUUUUGGGGGUAAAAAGCGCGGAUGGGGGGUUUUUUAAAUUUGGGAUGAAAACCCCCGGGUCUACCCUGGGGGAAUUCGCAUGAAAAUCGGCCACUCGAGUGUUGUAGAGGGGGGGGGAUUUUUCCGUGUGACAGGGUAAAAUGUGUAGAUCGGGAGGGACAUCCAGGGGGGAGAGAGGCCCCCCGGACUUCAUAUUCACUGUGGCGUGAAAAAGUGGGGAGCACACCCGGUUUGAUAUCCCUGUAAUGCCCACCCUUAAAGAGAUGUAAUGUAUCUUUGGGGCCAUUUGGCUUUUAAGUGGGGAAGUUACGCCUUAAGUUUGCCGCCUGGGGAGUACGGUCGCAAGGCUUAAACUCAAAAGAAUUGGCGGGGGCCCGCCCCAGCGGGGGAGUAUGUGGUUUUAUUUGAAACAACGCGAAGAACCUUACCCGGCCUUGACAUUUCAAGAACUUUCCAGAGAUGGAAUGGGGCCUUUGGGAAACAUAAAACAGGUGCUGCAAGGCUGUUGUUAGCUUGUGUUGUGAGAUGUUGGGUUAAAUUCCGCAACGAGCGCAACCCUUGGCCUUCCUUUCCAUCUAGUCAUGGUUGGUCCUCUAAGGAUACCGCCGGAGACUAACCGGAGGUAGGGGGGGAUGCCGUCAAGUCAUCAGUGCCCUUACGGCCAUGGGCACUUCACUACUACAAAGGGAGGGACACAAGGCUGCACCCCGCUCUAGGUGGCCCAAUUCCAAUGCAGUUCUCUGGUUUAGCCCGGGGAUUUCACACUUGGCUCCAUGGAGUUGGGAUGCGUAGGAAUUGCCCAGUCAUCAUUGAUGCGGUGAAUACGUUUCCGGGCCUUGUACGCUCCUCCCGUCACACCAUGGGAGUUUGUUCACCAGGUCCAUCUAGCUUAACCUUCGGGAGGGCGCUUCCCUUCGGUGCCCCGAUGAAGUGCUUGAAGUCGAAACAACGGUAU
rnacentral:rRNA from 1 species